rnacentral:lncRNA from 1 species
CUCGUUUGGCUGAUGAGUAUGGUUCAAGAGAGCUCCGAUUGACUGUGGAACAAAACAUUAUUAGUACUACUAGUAACCAGUUUUAUGGAGUAGUUUCUUGAAGAUAACUGAAGAAGUUCAAAAGCAAGCAUCUCUUAUGAGGCUAGUAAGGAAGCACUAGAUAGGUGUGCACAAGUUUUGAAAAAACUAGCAGAAUGACAUUAUUUAAUGGAAGAUCCAAGAUAAAACACGAUCCUUUGAUUAAGAAAGUACAUCAUCAAAUUCAUACCCGGCAAAAUCAGAUACAGAGGCAGCACCAAGAUGUUGUGCCGCUGAAAUAUUUAGUUUUGCUUUUUGGUUGGUUGGCAACUCAUGGAACAUGUUUUACCGAAGCUCAUGAGCAAAUUUUUUCACAAUCCCUAGAUGGUUUCAGCACAACAACAAGCUCCUCGAAUAGCC